AACGAACGCUGGCGGCGUGGAUAAGACAUGCAAGUCGAGCGGGAACUUUCGCUGUAGCAAUACAGUGAAAGUUCUAGCGGCGAACGGGUGCGUAACACGUGGACAAUCUGCCUUAAAGUGGGGGAUAGCUCGGCGAAAGCCGAAUUAAUACCGCAUGUGAUGAGAGACGACAUCGUCUUGAAAUCAAAGCCGGGGCAAACCUGGCGCUUUUUGAGGAGUCCGCGGCCAUCAGCUAGUUGGUGAGGUAACGGCCCACCAAGGCUAUGACGGGUAGCUGGUCUGAGAGGACGACCAGUCACACUGGAACUGAGACACGGUCCAGACACCUACGGUGGCAGCAGUCGAG
rnacentral:rRNA from 1 species